rnacentral:SRP_RNA from 1 species
UUGCAUUUAUGGUGGUUUUAUUAUAUAAUAGCACUGUUCGGACAGAGCCAAAACGGUGCGCUGUUCGGCAUACGGAUGCGGGCCCUGUGCGAUGGGGCCCCAUGAACCAUGUCAGGCGGGGAACCGAGCAGCAUUAAGUGGUCUGCCCUGUGCGCCGCAGGUAGCCUGCAUCCGUAUGCCAAGCAGCGCAAAGGCAG